rnacentral:rRNA from 1 species
UACGGAGGAUGCAAGCGUUAUCCGGAAUGAUUGGGCGUAAAGCGUCCGCAGGUGGCUAUGUAAGUCUGCUGUUAAAGAGUGAGGCUCAACCUCAUAAGAGCAGUGGAAACUACAUGGCUAGAGUGCGUUCGGGGCAGAGGGAAUUCCUGGUGUAGCGGUGAAAUGCGUAGAGAUCAGGAAGAACACCGGUGGCGAAGGCGGCGACCUGGGUCGAUACUGACGCUGAGGUGCGAAGGCGUGGGGAGCAAACAGG